GAUGAAGAACGCAGCGAAAUGCGAUAAGUAAUGUGAAUUGCAGAAUUCAGUGAAUCAUCGAAUCUUUGAACGCACAUUGCGCCCGCCAGUAUUCUGGCGGGCAUGCCUGUUCGAGCGUCAUUACAACCCUCAGGCCCCCGGGCCUGGCGUUGGGGAUCGGCGGAGCCCCCCGUGGGCACACGCCGUCCCCCAAAUACAGUGGCGGUCCCGCCGCAGCUUCCAUCGCGUAGUAGGUAACACCUCGCGACUGGAGAGCGGCGCGGCCACGCCGUAAAACACCCAACUCUUCUGAAGUUGACCUCGAAUCAGGUAGGAAUACCCGCUGAACUUAAGCAUAUCAAUAAGCGGAGGA
rnacentral:misc_RNA from 1 species